AUUAUUUUAAGCACUAAUUGUAGUUUAUGAGCCCAACAAUGCAUAUUAUAUGCAUAUGGACAAUCUUUAAGAAAUAAAGCUUGUAAUCUAUUCCAUUCACCACGCAUAUUACUUCCUCCAUUAUAUCACUGACCUCGAAUAUUCUCAAUUUGAAGGUCGUAACGAGAAAGAAGAACACAUAUUUCAUUUUUUAG